GUUCAUGGGAUGCCUCUACAGCCAAGAAAUCUCUCCCUAAUGGACAAGCUCCUGUAAGAAGUUCAACAUUUUCAGACUAUACAGUGUAAAAGGGAAAUAGAGGGAAAGCAAAAUCAGUUUAUCAGUAUGCAUGUAUUGAGUGCCAACCAAGCAACCACAAAAACUCCUGGGGAGUAAAACAUCCAAGGGACAUGGUCUCCACCAUCAGGGGGCUGAUAAUGUAACUGGAAAGAGAAGACAUAUGUGGGUAAAAAAAGACCUAACCAUAUGUGGCAUUUUUGUAACUGAGUGCCAUGUGCUUGCUGUCCAGAAUGAGUGCUAUGACAGCCCCAAAGCAUUCUGGUGGGUAAGUGUAGGUUUGGAACUUGUCCUUGAAAGAUGGGGCUUUGGAUAAGCAAAGGAGAGCAGCAAGGGCAUUCUAGGUAGGAAGAAUGAUAUGGGGAAAGGUUUGGAGAUAAGAAAAUACAAAAUAUUUAGGAAAGAUAGCAGAUCAUUUUUGACAUGGAAGAACGGAAGAUAGGUCAGAACUUUAAUGCUUCUGAUCAAAGAUAAUUGACAAUCUUCUAGAAUUAAAAUAGACCAUGGUGUGAUUAGCGGGAAAGAGGUGACUAUAGAAUAAUGAAUGUUAGGACCAGAUUGUGGCGGGUUUUGAGUGUCGUGUUUUUGGGAUUCAUCCACAUUGUUGUCUAUGACCUCCUCCCUUGCUGAGGAGUAUUCUAUUGUAAGAAUACACACGAUUUAUCCAUCUGCUCUCCUGUUAAUUAACACGGGUCAUUUCCAGGUUAGAGGUAUUACACAUAAAGGUACUCUAAAUAUUCUCGUAUAGGUC
rnacentral:sRNA from 1 species